rnacentral:sRNA from 1 species
UGGUUACCUAUGGCGAUUCGAAGUUC